rnacentral:rRNA from 1 species
GAUGAACGCUGGCGGCGUGCCUAAUACAUGCAAGUCGAGCGAACAGACGAGGAGCUUGCUCCUCUGACGUUAGCGGCGGACGGGGGAGUAACACGUGGAUAACCUACCUAUAAGACUGGGAUAACUUCGGGAAACCGGAGCUAAUACCGGAUAAUAUAUUGAACCGCAUGGUUCAAUAGUGAAAGACGGUUUUGCUGUCACUUAUAGAUGGAUCCGCGCCGCAUUAGCUAGUUGGUAAGGUAACGGCUUACCAAGGCGACGAUGCGUAGCCGACCUGAGAGGGUGAUCGGCCACACUGGACCGGAGACACGGUCCAGACUCCUACGGGAGGCAGCAGUAGGGAAUCUUCCGCAAUGGGCGAAAGCCUGACGGAGAAACGCCGCGUGAGUGAUGAAGGUCUUCGGAUCGUAAAACUCUGUUAUUAGGGAAGAACAAAUGUGUAAGUAACUAUGCACGUCUUGACGGUACCUAAUCAGAAAGCCACGGCUAACUACGUG